rnacentral:rRNA from 1 species
UACGUAGGGACCAAGCGUUGUUCGGAUUUACUGGGCGUAAAGGGCGCGUAGGCGGCGAAUCAAGUCAGCUGUGAAAUCUCCGAGCUUAACUCGGAACGGUCAGCUGAUACUGUUUUGCUAGAGUGCAGAAAGGGCAACCGGAAUUCUUGGUGUAGCGGUGAAAUGCGUAGAUAUCAAGAGGAACACCUGCGGCGAAGGCGGGUUGCUGGGCUGACACUGACGCUGAGGCGCGAAAGCCAGGGGAGCGAACGGG